GAGUUUGAUCCUGGCUCAGGACGAACGCUAGCGGCGCGCUUAACACAUGCAAGUCGAGCGGAAAGGCCCUUCGGGGUACUCGAGCGGCGAACGGGUGAGUAACACGUGAGCAACCUGCCCUUGGCUUUGGGAUAACCCCGGGAAACCGGGGCUAAUACCGAAUAUUACUCCUGCUCGCAUGGGUGGGGGUGGAAAGUUUUUCGGCCAAGGAUGGGCUCGCGGCCUAUCAGCUUGUUGGUGGGGUAAUGGCCUACCAAGGCUUCGACGGGUAGCCGGCCUGAGAGGGCGACCGGCCACACUGGGACUGAGAUACGGCCCAGACUCCUACGGGAGGCAGCAGUGGGGAAUAUUACACAAUGGGCGAAAGCCUGAUGCAGCGACGCCGCGUGAGGGAUGACGGCCUUCGGGUUGUAAACCUCUUUCGGCAGGGACGAAGCGCAAGUGACGGUACCUGCAGAAGAAGCGCCGGCCAACUACGUGCCAGCAGCCGCGGUAAGACGUAGGGCGCAAGCGUUGUCCGGAAUUAUUGGGCGUAAAGAGCUCGUAGGCGGCUUGUUGCGUCGACUGUGAAAAACCACGACUCAACCGUGGGACUGCAGUCGAUACGGGCAGGCUAGAGUUCGGUAGGGGAGACUGGAAUUCCUGGUGUAGCGGUGAAAUGCGCAGAUAUCAGGAGGAACACCGGUGGCGAAGGCGGGUCUCUGGGCCGAUACUGACGCUGAGGAGCGAAAGCGUGGGGAGCGAACAGGAUUAGAUACCCUGGUAGUCCACGCUGUAAACGUUGGGCGCUAGGUGUGGGGGGCCUCUCCGGUCCUCUGUGCCGCAGCUAACGCAUUAAGCGCCCCGCCUGGGGAGUACGGCCGCAAGGCUAAAACUCAAAGGAAUUGACGGGGGCCCGCACAAGCGGCGGAGCAUGCGGAUUAAUUCGAUGCAACGCGAAGAACCUUACCUGGGUUUGACAUGGCGGCUAAAGCCUCAGAGAUGGGGUGUCCUUCGGGGGCCGUCACAGGUGGUGCAUGGCUGUCGUCAGCUCGUGUCGUGAGAUGUUGGGUUAAGUCCCGCAACGAGCGCAACCCUCGUUCCAUGUUGCCAGCGGGUAAUGCCGGGGACUCAUGGGAGACUGCCGGGGUCAACUCGGAGGAAGGUGGGGAUGACGUCAAGUCAUCAUGCCCCUUAUGUCCAGGGCUUCACGCAUGCUACAAUGGCCGGUACAAAGGGCUGCGAUACCGCAAGGUGGAGCGAAUCCCAAAAAGCCGGUCUCAGUUCGGAUCGGGGUCUGCAACUCGACCCCGUGAAGUCGGAGUCGCUAGUAAUCGCAGAUCAGCAUUGCUGCGGUGAAUACGUUCCCGGGCCUUGCACACAC
rnacentral:rRNA from 1 species